AUGUGAGCAAAGGUCACAACUUUUAACAGCAAAGGCGAAACAAUCUCCAAGUUUCUUUUUUUCCAUGGCCUAUCAUGGAAAUGCUAAGAUAAAAAGACAAAAUUUAACCAGAGCUGGGAAAGCAAGAUAACUCUACAGCUGAAAGACUAGACUUCCCCUGCUCACUCAGGGGCCAGCUCAGUUCCACAGCCUGCUGGACAUGGAGAGGUCUCCAGGGAACCCGGACUUCAGCCCCAUGGAAGCUGUCCCUGCACAGAUGAGUGCAGGCAUCCAGAAGUGUGUUCCCUGCCAGGGCGUGUGACCAUGGGCUCCACAGGUUCAGAGAGAAAAACAAACAGCUGGCUCACCACGACAAAUAUCCCACUGUCACCAGCCUCAUCUUCACCAUGGACUUGAUGAAGCCAUGUUAACUUUGAAACACCGUGUCUCCCCUUGCUGUCCCUCCUCACACCCACCCACUUUCCUGUCACAGAAUAAAUAAAAGGUAUUCAGUGUCUGGGAACUCGCACACACAUCAGCUGGAGGAUCCUUGCCCCUGGCAGUCUGAAUCUGCAGCCUGUAACCCCCAAGUCACCACACAGCACUUCCCACCAGCACCCUUCUGGGAC
rnacentral:lncRNA from 1 species